rnacentral:lncRNA from 1 species
UGAGAGAGAGAUCAAGCAAUAUUUUCGCGUCUCGUUGCAGUGAAACUUGGUGCAGGGGGCUCCCGUUCUAGGUUUCUAUUAAUGAUCAAGAUAAGAGCCAAGUUUAAAACUGAACUUAUUUAGUUUGCAAAAAAAUUAAUUUUAUUAAAAUAUUUAUUUAAAAAAUUGAUAUAUAUCUAAAAAAUAAUUUUUGUAUAUUUAAUUCAUCGAAAAAAUAUAGCAUAUUUUAAAAUAAUUUAUAUUUAGCUAAGCAUAAAAUAUUAUGUAAAUAUCUGUUGUAUCUUUAAUAAAGUUAAAAAUCUUAUUUUAUUCUAUUUAAAACUUUAAAAAUAUUUUUUAAGAAAAUAUUCUAAUUUUCAGCUGAUAAAAAUUAAAAUUUCUAUAUUUCAUAUAAAUUUUUUCUACAAAAUAUAAAAAAU